ACAGAGGGUGCGAGCGUUGUCCGGAAUCACUGGGCGUAAAGGGCGCGUAGGUGGCUUGGUAAGCGUGUGGUGAAAGUCCGGGGCUCAACCCCGGAUCUGCCGUGCGAACUGCUGAGCUCGAGCGAUGUAGAGGCAGGUGGAAUUUCGGGUGUAGCGGUGGAAUGCGUAGAUAUCCGAAAGAACACCAGUGGCGAAGGCGGCCUGCUGGGCAUCAGCUGACACUGAGGCGCGACAGCGUGGGGAGCAAACAGGAUUAGAUACCCUGGUAGUCCACGCCGUAAACGAUGGGUACUAGGUGUCUGGGGGAGCGACCCCCUGGGUGCCGGCGCUAACGCAUGAAGUACCCCGCCUGGGGAGUACGACCGCAAGGUUG
rnacentral:rRNA from 1 species